rnacentral:rRNA from 1 species
UCCUCCUACGGGACGCAGCAGUGGGGAAUAUUGCACAAUGGGGGAAACCCUGAUGCAGCGACGCCGCGUGAAGGAAGAAGUAUCUCGGCAUGUAAACUUCUAUCGGCAGGGAAGAAAACGGACGGUACCUGACUAAGAAGCCCCGGCUAACUACGUGCCAGCAGCCGCGGUAAUACGUAGGGGGCGAGCGUUAUCCGGAUUUACUGGGUGUAAAGGGAGCGGAGACGGCUGUGCAAGUCUGUAGUGAAAUGCCGGGGCCCAACCCCGGAAC